CCUACGGGUGGCUGCAGUGAGGAAUAGUGGUCAAUGGGCGCGAGCCUGAACCAGCCAAGUCGCGUGAGGGAAGACGGUCCUAUGGAUGGUAAACCUCUUUUGUCGGGGAGCAAAAGACGCCACGCGUGGCGUUCCGAGAGUACCCGAAGAAAAAGCAUCGGCUAACUCCGUGCCAGCAGCCGCGGUAAUACGGAGGAUGCGAGCGUUAUCCGGAUUUAUUGGGGUUACAGGGUGCGCAGGCGGAAGAUCAAGUCAGCGGUAAAAUUGAGAGGCUCACCCUCUUCGAGCCGUUGACACUGGUUUUCUUGAGUGUGUGACAAGUAUGCGGACUGCGUGGUGUAGCCGUGCACUGCCUAGAUAUCACGCCGAACUCCGAUUGCGACGGCAGCAUACCGGCGCUCAACUGACGCUCAUGCACGAACGUGUGGGUAUCGAACAGGAUUCGCUACCCCAGUAGUC
rnacentral:rRNA from 1 species